UGUUGAUGUUUCAGUCGUCGGGAUCUGCGCSGAGUCGGUGGAMGUUUGUUUGCCUUUUGUCUCUAAACCUUGUUGUCCUCUUUUUAAUUUCCUGUUGAUCCGACUCAGAGAUCCGAUUUCCCGCCUGCGUGGGACAGAUAAUCUUGUCAAUCUGCUGACUUUGUGAGGGAGAAUUUAAGGCGAUUCGGCUACCGAGGCUUUCAUCUUGGGAGUCUCCCCCACCAGCAACAGCACCACCACCAUGCUGUUCGCUGCUGGAGUCCCGGCCUCAUCGGGGGGUGGGGAGCUCCUCGCAUCUGUUGUCUGUAAGUUUGAAAAGUAGUGGUUGAGAGGACCCGAUUGGAGUUUACGAGGCGGUACAGUAUCACAAAGAGCUGGUUUUAAUUCAGCGUGGCAGGCAGACGGCUGAAGGGACGGCGCUGCCCCGGAAGUAGUCCGACGCGACCYCAGGACGAAGGAGGUCAAAGAAGAGUAAUGAAGAUAAAGACAGGGAGGGAUUCGGAGGCCGUGGGGGGGGAAAUAAAUAUGUCUUGAGAGGACGGGGAACAUGGACUCCUCUGGCGUGUAACGAGGAGACAUUCCACUGUAUACGUGUGUUUUCUUCGGUUGUAAAUACUGCAAGGACUCAGAGCGGCAACGAUGAAACUCUCAACUCUCUGCAGCUACACGUUGCWAGAAAACAAUGUGACACACGACGGGACAAACGGAGGGAACCUGUUAAGGGGGAGCGGACGCCACUGGAUGCGCACGCAGCAAGCUCAGCCACAGGCGGGAGGACCCCGGCGCUGUGGGUGACGCCUCACAAGCGGCCUUGACCCAAAAGAACCUGACCUCGCUCUCUAAAUCAACACGUCCCCUCCGGGUCCGUCCAGAGCCGGAAAGACUUAUCCGAGGCUGAACGUCGACACCGCCGAGGUUUAGCCUUCGAGCAGAUUCAUAGAGACGGUGUUUUUAAAAUUUAGAGGGAAMGUAGAACAACGUGUGGGUGUCGCAGCUCCCAGGGCUGCGGUGACGUCAUGCUCUGCCGAUGYGGUUUCGCUUCAUAUUGUUAGGUCCCAGCGGGCAAACUUCCAACACGGCCUAUUAUUGAGGUCCGUUUUUUUUUUUUUGUCUUCGCUUUGCUGACCUCAUAAAUAUUUUUUUGCUGAUGGUUAUCGAAACAUAACACUACGAAAAGCUCAACCAAACAUUCUUUGUUCUUUGAAAAAAAAAAAAAAAAGUCAUCCAUGUUUCUGUUUUUCUUAAAAACCAAUUCUUCCUGUUUGAUGCUUCUUUGCCUGCUUCAGUUCGUUGUUUUUUUUUUCUUCACCAGACUACAGCUUCAGUUUAGAAAAGAAAAUGCAAGUUUUAAAUGUCAUUCAAGAAAAACCUUCUCCUUUGGUACUUCAGCGAGGGGAGUUUGUUGUGGCAAGUUUGGGUCUAAUCUCAAACUUAUGUUUCAGAUCGUUACCUUCAUUUCUGUCUCUCUUAAAAACCAAUUCUUCCUCUUAUGGAAGAAUUUUCCCCGUUUUUGCAUGAUUUUGUCAUUGUUUUUUUCACCAGACUGAGGCUUCAGUUUAGACAAAAACAUGCAAGUUUUAAAGAUCAUUUGAGAAAAAAAAACCUUUAGCCAGCAACCAGCCUUUUAUCUGGGUCAUGGAGGUAAAGCCCAUUGUGUCCUCUAAGCCCCUGCAACAGCCCCUCUGGAGGCAAACAGCUUCAGGCUCGGACCAAGAACUUUACUAGAAGGUCAAACCCGGCCUUAAUUAGGAUCAUCAAAUCCAAGACACCUCAGGGAAUGCAGUGUUUGAAUCUAUUAGCGAGUCUUUUUGCUCAGUCCUGGUUCACCUACGGGCAGGAACAGAAGGCGACGGUUUCCUUGAGCUCCAGCCCGAACAGGAACUCGGUACCACCGGCUAUUUAUUUUYUCAUUUUCUUAUUCAGCACGGUAACUGGAUAGGCCCAGAUGGCUGGCCGCUGGCGAGAUUGACAGGCGCAUAUUUCAAGCUGUUUAUAUUUGGUGGGGUCUCCGGGGACGGUUUCAUAACUUACAUACUGUUAUAUCAAUACCUGAUGAGUUUACACAUAGCGGUGUGCUGCCAAAAACAUUAACAAGAGCGAGUUUGUUUAUUAUAAUUUUUUUUUUUUUCAGUUGUUUGGUCUCCACAGGAAUACUCGCGGAAAAUUAAAGAAAAAAAAAAAAAUGGACGCCUGCAGUUUGUGUUCUGAGUGCCACCUAUCUGACAGAGCAGAUGCUUUCUCUGGAUGCUCUGUUAAAUAUUGGCCCCGUCUCCCCCCAAUACGGAGCCCAAAAGGAAACACACACAUCUUUUUUUUUUUUUUUUGGUGCAGAUUGCUAAUAUGCAAAAUCAUCUGAACUUGUUUGCUUUGGAAUGCAUUCUCUCCACUUUUAAAUGUAUCUCUUCUCCAAAGAACCCCCCCACUCCCAAAAAACAGGAAAAUGUCACUUUAAUUCUCCCCCAGGCUGUCCUAAUUUCUUCAGAACGGAGAUACGGUGGAACCAGAACCGCCGGUUUGCCCUGGCUGCAGACGGUGAUUUGAUUUGCCAACGGAAAGCUCACGUUGCUGAUGUUACAGCUGUUUAAAUGUUUCUCUUUGCUUGUCCAGUAUUCUGAAACACAUUUAAUAAAAUACACUGGUAGGA